rnacentral:rRNA from 1 species
CCUACGGGGGGCAGCAGUCGAGAAUCAUUCACAAUGGGGGAAACCCUGAUGGUGCGACGCCGCGUGGGGGAAUGAAGGUCUUCGGAUUGUAAACCCCUGUCAUGUGGGAGCAAAUUAAAAAGAUAGUACCACAAGAGGAAGAGACGGCUAACUCUGUGCCAGCAGCUGCGGUAAUACAGAGGUCUCAAGCGUUGUUCGGAAUCACUGGGCGUAAAGCGUGCGUAGGCUGUUUCGUAAGUCGUGUGUGAAAGGUGCGGGCUCAACCCGCGGACGGCACAUGAUACUGCGAGACUAGAGUAAUGGAGGGGGAACCGGAAUUCUCGGUGUAGCAGUGAAAUGCGUAGAUAUCGAGAGGAACACUCGUGGCGAAGGCGGGUUCCUGGACAUUAACUGACGCUGAGGCACGAAGGCCAGGGGAGCGAAAGGGAUUAGAUACCCUAGUAGUC